rnacentral:tRNA from 1 species
GGUUGUAGCUCAGUGGUAGAGUGCUUGCCUUGAAUGUGUGAGGCACUGGGUUCAACUCUCAGCACCA